rnacentral:lncRNA from 1 species
UUGAAGUGCAAAUUGAAGAAGUCCGACAGGUAGGAUCAUAUAAAAAGGGGACAAUGACUACAGGACACAAUGUGGCUGACCUGGUGGUAAUACUAAAGAUUCUGCCAACAUUGGAAGCUGUUGCCGCCCUUGGGAACAAAGUUGUGGAAAGCCUGAGGGCACAGGAUCCCUCAGAAGUCUUGACCAUGCUGAAAUAUCUACCUGGGAUGGAGUGAUUGUGACACCUUCAGAAAAGGCCUAUGAAAAGCCGCCUGAGAAGAAGGAGGGAGAGGAAGAGGAAGAGAACACAGAAGAGCCGCCUCAGGGAGAAGAAGAAGAAAGCAUGGAGACUCAGGAGUGACCUUCCCCAAGGGAAAAUGAGCCUGAGCCAGCCACCACGGGGCUUCAGAUGGUGGCAUUUCUGUGGUAUAGGGAGAUAGCAGGAAGGAAAACAGACUGUAAAGAAAAUGUCAUUCUAGUGUUUUGAUAGUGGCCAAGCAGCUAGAAAUCUCCCAUUUGUGACUGCAUAUGCCAUCCGUCCAUCUGUAAUGAAGCAGAUGCCACACAUUCCCAAUAUUUAAACCUAACCACUCCCAACCAGUACCUUUUGUUGAAAUGUUGUAAACUGUUGUUGAGUGUCUGGGGAUUUUUUUUUUUUUUUCUAAGAAAAAUGAUUAAAGUACUUCCUACUAGGGC